GCCGAAGUGGCGGAAUUGGCAGACGCGCAUGGUUGAGGGCCAUGUGAGCGCAAGCUCGUGCGAGUUCGAGUCUCGCCUUCGGCACCA
rnacentral:tRNA from 1 species